AUUGAACGCUGGCGGCAGGCCUAACACAUGCAAGUCGAGCGGAUGAAGGGAGCUUGCUCCUGGAUUCAGCGGCGGACGGGUGAGUAAUGCCUAGGAAUCUGCCUGGUAGUGGGGAUAAAGGUCGGAAAAGGGCCCCAAUACCCGAUACGGCCCGGGGGGGGAAGGGGGGGGUCCUCGGAACUCAACCUUUUCGGAUGACCCAGGUCGGAUUAGCUAGUUGGUGGGGUAAAGGCCUACCAAGGCGACGAUCCGUAACUGGUCUGAGAGGAUGAUCAGUCACACUGGAACUGAGACACGGUCCAGACUCCUACGGGAGGCAGCAGUGGGGAAUAUUGGACAAUGGGCGAAAGCCUGAUCCAGCCAUGCCGCGUGUGUGAAGAAGGUCUUCGGAUUGUAAAGCACUUUAAGUUGGGAGGAAGGGCAGUAAGUUAAUACCUUGCUGUUUUGACGUUACCAACAGAAUAAGCACCGGCUAACUUCGUG
rnacentral:rRNA from 1 species